rnacentral:rRNA from 1 species
GACGAACGCUGGCGGCGUGCCUAAUACAUGCAAGUCGAACGAGAGCGACCGGUGCUUGCACUGGUCAAUCUAGUGGCGAACGGGUGAGUAACACGUGGGUAACCUGCCCAUCAGAGGGGGAUAACAUUCGGAAACGGAUGCUAAAACCGCAUAGGUCCUUUAACCGCAUGGUUGAAGGAGGAAAAGAGGCGCAAGCUUCUGCUGAUGGAUGGACCCGCGGUGCAUUAGCUAGUUGGUGAGGUAACAGCUCACCAAGGCCGUGAUGCAUAGCCGACCUGAGAGGGUGAUCGGCCACAUUGGGACUGAGACACGGCCCAAACUCCUACGGGAGGCAGCAGUAGGGAAUCUUCCGCAAUGGACGCAAGUCUGACGGAGCAACGCCGCGUGAGUGAAGAAGGUUUUCGGAUCGCAAAACUCUGUUGUUAGAGAAGAACAAGUGCUAGAGUAACUGUUAGCGCCUUGACGGUAUCUAACCAGAAAGCC